CCCAUCUAUAGUAGCCCUUCCCACCCUUCUUACUUCAUAGCCCUUCUUAUUUUUUUUAAAUAAGCUAUAUUUUCUAGAACAAUUGUAGAUUUACAGUGAAAUCCCAAAGAUCUUACAGGAAGUCCCCACACCCUCCCACCUCUGCACCCAAUAUCCCCUAUUACUAACAUCUUAUGUUAGUGUGGAACAUUUGUCAUGACAAAUGAGCCAAUAUGGACACAUUAUAUGAAUGAAACCAUACCUUAUUCAGAUUUCUUUAGUUUUAGCCCAGUGUCCCAUCCAGGAUCCAAUCUAGGGUACCAGAGUACAUACAUUUAGUUCUCCUCUUGGCUGUGAUAAUGUUCUUCUCCCUUCCCCCUUUGAAAAGAUUUUAUUUAUUCAUUUUGAGAGAGGGAAUGUGGGGAGGGGCAGGGGGAGAGGGAGAGAGAACAUCUUAACCAUUCACUGCCUUGCUGAGCAUGGAGCCUGAUGCACGGCUCAGUCUUACAACCCCUGAGAUCAUGAUCUGAGCAAAAUCAAGUCGGUUCCUUAACAAACUGAGCUACCCAGGUGCCCCUGUCAUAAUGUUCUUGGUGACCUCAACAAUUCUGAGGAGUACAGGUCAGGUAUUAUAUAGAAUGUUUCUCAGCUGAAAUUUGUCUGAUGUUUUUCUCAUGGUUGUACUUGGUUAUAUGUUUUGGGGAGAAAGACUGUAGAGUUAUGUGUUUUGAGCACCGUUGCUGGGCUAACCCACAGCCAUUCUCAGCCUCCUUCUUACCUGCUGUUUGCAAGCAAAAGCAAGAAUGCCAGAUGCCUGUUUUCUCCAGUCACCAUCCUGUCAAUGAAACAGAAGGAAGUCCGUCUUCUCAUGUGUUUUGGAGGAGGCUUUUGCUUUCCUCACAAAAAAGUUCAAUUUGCCAACACAUAGUAUAACACCCAGUGCUCAUCCCAUCGAGCGCCCUCUGCUACUUCACUGAAUCGGUCUUCGCUUGGGCCCUGCGCACUUGGCACUGUUAUUAUCUCCCACUUUACUCUGGAUGAGGAACAGGAG